rnacentral:rRNA from 1 species
AUGAACGCUGGCGGCGUGCCUAAUCCAUGCAAGGCGAGCGAACAGAUGAGGAGCUUGCUCCUCUGACGUUAGCGGCGGACGGGGGAGUAACACGUGGAUAACCUACCUAUAAGACUGGGAUAACUUCGGGAAACCGGAGCUAAUACCGGAUAAUAUAUUGAACCGCAUGGUUCAAUAGUGAAAGACGGUUUUGCUGGCACUUAUAGAUGGAUCCGCGCCGCAUUAGCUAGUUGGUAAGGUAACGGCUUACCAAGGCAACGAUGCGUAGCCGACCUGAGAGGGUGAUCGGCCACACUGGAACUGAGACACGGUCCAGACUCCUACGGGAGGCAGCAGUAGGGAAUCUUCCGCAAUGGGCGAAAGCCUGACGGAGCAACGCCGCGUGAGUGAUGAAGGUCUUCGGAUCGUAAAACUCUGUUAUUAGGGAAGAACAAAUGUGUAAGUAACUAUGCACGUCUUGACGGUACCUAAUCAGAAAGCCACGGCUAACUACGUG